rnacentral:rRNA from 1 species
CACGUAGGGCGCAAGCGUUGUCCGGAAUUAUUGGGCGUAAAGAGCUCGUAGGUGGUUUGUUACGUCCGCUGUGAAAGCCCAUGGCUUAACUGUGGGUCUGCGGUGGAUACGGGCUGGCUAGAGGUAGGUAGGGGCAAGCGGAAUUCCUGGUGUAGCGGUGAAAUGCGCAGAUAUCAGGAGGAACACCGGUGGCGAAGGCGGCUUGCUGGGCCUUACCUGACGCUGAGGAGCGAAAGCGUGGGGAGCGAACAGG